ACGGGAGGCAGCAGUGGGGAAUAUUGCACAAUGGGGGAAACCCUGAUGCAGCGACGCCGCGUGAGUGAAGAAGUAUUUCGGUAUGUAAAGCUCUAUCAGCAGGGAAGAAAAUGACGGUACCUGACUAAGAAGCCCCGGCUAACUACGUGCCAGCAGCCGCGGUAAUACGUAGGGGGCAAGCGUUAUCCGGAUUUACUGGGUGUAAAGGGAGCGUAGACGGCAAAGCAAGUCCGAUGUGAAAUUCUGGGGCUCAACCGCAGAACUGCAUUGGAAACUGUUUAGCUAGAGUAUCGGAGAGGUAAGUGGAAUUCCUAGUGUAGCGGUGAAAUGCGUAGAUAUUAGGAGGAACACCAGUGGCGAAGGCGGCUUACUGGACGAUAACUGACGUUGAGGCUCGAAAGCGUGGGGAGCAAACAGGAUUAGAUACCCUGGUA
rnacentral:rRNA from 1 species